AAAUGAAUAGACGGGGACCCGCACAAGCGGUGGAGCGUGUUCUUUAAUUGGAUGAUAAGCCAAGAACCUUACCCAGGUUUGACAUCCUGCGAAGGACUCCGAAAGGAAUCUGUGCUUUUUGAACGCAGUGACAGGUGUUGCAUGGCCGUCGUCAGCUCGUGUCGUGAGAUGUUGGGUUAAGUCCCGCAACGAGCGCAACCCUUAUGUUUAGUUGGAUUUUUCUAGACAGACUGCCUCGGUAACGGGGAGGAAGGAGGGGAUGAUGUCAGGUCCGUAUUACCCUUACACCUGGGGCUAGAAACGCGCUACAAUGGCCGGUACAAUGGGCAGCCAAGUCGCAAGAUGGAGCUAAUCCCACCAAAGCCGGUCUCAGUUCGGAUUGGAGGCUGAAAUUCGCCUCCAUGAAGCCGGAAUCGCUAGUAACGGUAGGUCAGCACACUACCGUGAAUACGUUCCCGGGUCUUGUACACACCGCCCGU
rnacentral:rRNA from 1 species